rnacentral:siRNA from 1 species
UUGAUGGUCUUCAUUCGGUUC